UCCUGAUCGAUUGAAACCCCAGGAACGAACUAGACUUCUUUCAAACCCUAAAUUCUACAAAUUUCCCUCAAAAAUUAAAGGAGAAUUCAAUCAAGAAUCAAUCUUAGGCUAGUAUCUUGAUCACUAACACUAGGAGAUCGAAAGGUGAUGUGGGUGGAUCAUCAAGUGGGCAAGGUGGAACGGAUACCCGCUUAAGGGAAAGCUUUGAAAAAGGUUGCUCAUGGAAUGCGUUGGAUGUGGAUCAAGCGAGAACAAGGACCGAACACACAACUUACAAAAGAUUCCGCUAAUAAACUAGUUUCUUUUUGCUAUCAAACUUAUGUGUAAUAGUUAUAAUAGUGAUGUUUGAAGUUUUAAACG